UAUUCUGUUUACGUUGACAGCAACUUUGAGCAAUGCUUAAGGAUGACUAGCAAGUGCUUGCUGGUGUUGUGAAUGUGAGUCAGACCC
ensembl:miRNA